GUGGGGAAUAUUGGACAAUGGGCGAAAGCCUGAUCCAGCCAUGCCGCGUGUGUGAAGAAGGUCUUCGGAUUGUAAAGCACUUUAAGUUGGGAGGAAGGGCAGUAAGUCAAUACCUUGCUGUUUUGACGUUACCAACAGAAUAAGCACCGGCUAACUUCGUGCCAGCAGCCGCGGUAAUACGAAGGGUGCAAGCGUUAAUCGGAAUUACUGGGCGUAAAGCGCGCGUAGGUGGUUUUGUAAGUUGGAGGUGAAAUCCCCGGGCUCAACCUGGGAACUGCCUCCAAAACUGCAUGACUAGAGUACGGUAGAGGGUAGUGGAAUUUCCUGUGUAGCGGUGAAAUGCGUAGAUAUAGGAAGGAACACCAGUGGCGAAGGCGACUACCUGGACUGAUACUGACACUGAGGUGCGAAAGCGUGGGGAGCAAACAGGAUUAGAUACCCUAGUAGUCC
rnacentral:rRNA from 1 species